rnacentral:lncRNA from 1 species
GGGGACCCGGGCGUGGCCAAGUCGCAGCUGCUGACCUACAUCGACCGCCUGGCGCCGCGCAGUGCGUGCCUUCCUCCUCACCAUCCUCCUCCUCCUCACCAUCCUCCUCCUCCUUGCCUUCCUCUUCCAUCAUCUUCCUCCUUUCCUUCUCCUCCUCCUCCUCCUCCUCACCAUCAUCAUCCUCCUUGCCUUCCUCCUCACCAUCCUCCUCCUCCUUGCCUUCCUCCUCCUUGCCUUCCUCCUCACCAUCCUCCUCCUCCUUGCCUUCCUCCUCCAUCAUCUUCCUCCUUUCCUUCUCCUCACCAUCAUCAUCCUCCUCACCAUCAUCAUCAUCCUCCUCACCAUCAUCAUCUUCCUCCUCACCAUCAUCUUCCUCCUUUCCUCCUCCUCCUCCUCCUCCUCCUCACCAUCCUCCUCCUCCUCCUCCAUCAUCUUCCUCCUUUCCUUCCUCCUCACCAUCCUCCUCCUCCUUGCCUUCCUCCUCCUCACCAUCAUCUUCCUCCUUGCCUUCCUCCUCCUCCUCCUCCUCCUCACCAUCCUCCUCCUCCUUGCCUUCCUCCUCCAUCAUCUUCCUCCUUGCCUUCCUCCUCACCAUCAUCAUCUUCCUCCUUGCCUUCCUCCUUCUCCUCCUCCAUCAUCUUUCUCCUCCUCCUCCUCCUCCUCCUCACCAUCAUCUUCCUCCUUUCCUCCUCAUCUCAAUCAUCUUCCUCCUUGCCUUCCUCCUCCUCCUCCUCCUCCUCCUCCAUCAUCUUCCUCCUCCUCCUCCAUCAUCUUCCUCCUUGCCUUCCUCCUCCUCCUCCUCCUCCUCACCAUCAUCUUCCUCCUUUCCUCCUCAUCUCCAUCAUCUUCCUCCUUUCCUUCUCCUCUUCCUCCUCCUCCUCCUCCUCACCAUCAUCUUCCUCCUUGCCUUCCUUCUCCUCCUCCUCCUCCUCCUCCUCACCAUCAUCUUCCUCCUUGCCUUCCUUCUCCUCCUCCUCCUCCUCCUCCUCACCAUCAUCUUCCUCCUUUCCUCCUCAUCUCCAUCAUCUUCCUCCUUUCCUUCUCCUCCUCCUCCUCCUCCUCCUCCUCUUCCUCCUCACCAUCAUCUUCCUCCUUGCCUUCCUCCUCCUCCUCCUCCUCCUCAUCUCCAUCAUCUUCCUCCUUCUCCUCAUCUUCAUCAUCAGCAUCAUCUUCUUCCACCUUUCCUUUUCUUCCUCUUUUCCUUUUCUUCCUCCUUUCCUUCUUCCUCCUCCUCUUCUUCAUCACCAUCAUCACCAUCAUCUUCCUCCUUUCCGUUCUCUUCCUCCUCCUUUUCCCAUUUUAUGCCAGUUUUAGGCCCAUUUUAUGUCCACUUUCCCCCUUUUCCCCCCAUUUUGUAUCUGUUUCCACAUUCUAUGCCCAUUUUUACUCAUUUUAUGCUCAUUUUUACCCAUUUUCCCCCAUCUUAUGCCCAUUUUUUGUACAUUUUCAUCCAUUUUCCCAUUUUUAUUCCCAUUUUCCCCAUUUCUCCCCAACCCCAGGCCAGUACACGACGGGGCGCGGCUCCUCGGGCGUGGGGCUGACGGGGCCGUGUCCAUUUUUAACCCAUUUUCACCCAUUUUUAACCCAUUUUACACCGUGUUUUUCCCAUUUUUUCCCA